rnacentral:tRNA from 1 species
UUUUUUAUGGUGUAAAUAGCACGUUGGUUUUUCAUACCAAAGGAGGAAUGUAUUCCUGACU